GCAACAUGUAAGCCCUUUGGUUCAUACUGGAGGAAAACAGAGCAUUUAGAGGAGGAGGACCUCAUGGAGCCCUUCUCAACUGCACAGGACCAGAGAUGCUUGAGCUACAUCCAUCAUCAAAGCAAAAUCCCUGUCCUCCAGGGGCUUACAUUCCAGAGAAUUGGUGGGGGAGGUAGAGGACAAUGGACUCAGAAAACAAUGGACUCAGAAAUCUCAAAGAGACAGAGAAUGUUAACGGUGGUGCUGGCUGCCAGAAAUUUCUGCAUAUCAACAGUAAAGAGCUCCUUAUUAUCUCGACAUACUUGGAAUAAGCACAGCCGUUUUUUUUUUCCUCUUCCCAGAAUUUAAUAAAGGCCAGAAAUUCCACAGGGCAUCUGACUCAACUUCUAUCUUCUCUUUUCUCUUGUUUCUGACCCCCCUCCCCAACACCAUAACCUUGAAAGGGCAGGAUCGGAUGCUCCAUAGCCAGGCAUGAAGCUGCUGCUGCACCUAGUGCCCAGGAGUCCCCUGACCUCUUUCAGGCCAGGGUCCACCUGCACACCCCACCGAGGGGUCAACUUUGUACUCAGGAGACUGGGAAGUGAGCAGGGGAGGGCCUACCUAGGACAGAAGUCAGGCAGCCAGGGUUCAUAUCUGCUUCUCCACUUAUCUACUAUUGGCAAAGGAGUUACCUUCUCCGAGACUCAGUUUUCUCACACCUAAAAGACCUGUGUCAAAAGUUUCUUCCUCUUAGAGUGGAUGUAAGGAUUGAAUGGGUAAUGUGCAGAGAGCACUUCAUAAACAAUAGCUAAUGACUGCAUCUUCAUUAAUGUGGAGCACUUGCCCUCUUCCAACUACUGCGGAAGGAUCCAGGAUCCUGAACUAAAUUAGAUAUGUGCCAGGCCCGCAGAGACCACCCCGGCAAGGAGACAGACAAGGAAACAGGAGGCUUUGGGUUUUGCAUGAUUAAAUGCGUGAUUCAAUUAAAUGUGUGAUUCAAGAUAGAGAGGAAGGUGGGAUUAACCCUUUACAAAGAGUUCAAGACAGUUUCACAGAGGAAAGGGACCCCUAAAACGGCUGUCAAGGUUG